UUGGCGGGUUUGUGAAAAAGCUGUAGAGACGAUACCUCGUCCCUACAGACCUAAAAGGAUUUUUUUUUUCUUCUUUUUAUAUUCCUCUAUUCACAACAGCAAUUAUAGAACUCAAAUACCGAUUGUUUCUCUUUCUCCCUCACUCUUUCUUGAAAUGGAUUUGUCGGAUAUUACAAGGAAGUUAGGGCUUAAGGAAUCGAAGCAAUUCGUCUGUAAAGCCUUUGAGCACUGUCACGUCUCUGAUCUUCAAUUUGAUUCAUCUAAUGGCGGAUUCCGGAAUCAUAAGUUGUUUGCCUCUGUUAUGAUUUUUUUCAUCAAUUUCUAUUCGAUCGUCACACCGCAAUAAAGUUGAGUAGGAUGUAUGAGAAGCCUUACUUUAGAUCUUUCAAUGUGAUCUACAACAGAAUUUGUGUCAAGCGUGUUCAUAUCUUUUGCUUUGCAUAUCAUCAUCAUGCUUUUUACUCAAUUGAUAUGUAUAAUGUAUCAGAUCAAACAUUAAACAAUCAUUUCAUGAUGAAGUACAUGAUCGACUUGAUAUUAGGGAAUUAGCUAUUCAAUUUGGAUGUGCUACCAUUUUAGAGCUACCUGCUAAAGUGGUCUAUUAACUUUAUUGACAGAAGGCGAUUUAGAGAAAGCCUGAUUCAUCAAUAAUUCAAUACUGUUCACUUCAAGAACCAGAUUGUGAAUAUCUUCAUGUAAUUUAUAGCUACCAAAGUAUUAUUGUAUAUGUAAAUGUAAUUAAUGGAAUGCGUCAAGCAUGGUCUAGAUAAGAAUUAAUAUUCCUCCCAGCACUUUUUAUUCCUUUAUUACAUGCUCGUAAGUAUUUUUCAAUCAAGGCACAAUCCAAAUUGGGAUCUUAACUAUAGGUUUUUAGGAAAAAAAAAAAGACAAAUGUGUAAUGUUUCUAUUGAUCUGUUCAUAAUCUUGCUAUUUGAAGCUAGCUAAGUGUUUGUGAAUGGUCAUUACCUUUAUAUUUUGAUCAACUACUAUAAAUGUUUCUUGUUAUUGCAUGAAAAUAGUCUAACUAUGACAACUUUUGAAACCUAAUGUUCAAGAUUAUAAAAGUGAGUUUACUACAUGGGACUCAGAUACAUAGAAAAGUUAUAACUUGGGAAAAAUAAUGCAAAUUGGAAGGAAUUAGUAAAAACUAAAAAGAUGUUGAAAAGUUAUUAUUUCAGGUAGUAUGUGCAAUGAUGUGGCUGACGAGCGGUUUUCCAGAGUGUCUCCUCCACUACCUGAUUGUGUUGUGCGACUUUCUAACACUAUUGCCACCUCAUUCUCUUCCUAGAAAGAAUGCUUCUCAUAUCACUGCCAUUAGCUGGAUGAAGUAUUACUUUGCUGAUGUCACUCCCUCUGUCACCAAUCACAUUUCAACAAGGGCCUUGUGAAAAUGGAGUGUCAUGAAGAAGGGAAACAAGGACAAACAAAAAUUUUGAAAAGGAUUAAACAUAAUGAGGUGAUGAAGAAGGGUUCUACAAUUUAUGUGCCUGUAUCUAUUGCUGAAUCUAGAAUCUCCAAGAGAUUUGAUACAAUUCCAACUGCAUCUUUAUCUCCAAAUGAGGUGAUGAAGAAAUUCAAUAUUUGCAAAGACUUUUCAUGUACAAGGCAUGUCUUUCUUUAUUUCUAUAAUGCCUUUCAUCUUGUAAAAAACAGAAAUACAUUAUUUUUUUAGUUCAUUGAUGACAUCAUAAUGAAACUUUAGGAUUCUGCUCUACUUGUUCUGAGCCACCAAAGGUGCCUUUAAAGGGGAAUCUUGCUGUUCAUAACAGCAUGGAUGCACUUGCAGCUGCAGCAUUAUGUUAUGAUUAUGAUGAAGGCCCUAAACUGGUAAUCAAUCAAUCUCAUGCAUAAAAUUUAGUUACUUUUACAGCUGCAGUGUUUUACUUGUUAAUUGAACUUAAUGGUUUAAGCAUUUUUUUUCAUCAUUUUGAUACAAAUUUGGUUACCUUUUGAAGCAUUUAUAAUAUUUCUUGUUAGUAUCAAACCUCUCUCUUUAUCCACCGAAAUAUAGGUAAGAAGAAAAUGAUUAUUGGCCCUAUCUCCUUUUUAACCAGUUGGAUUUUUUGAAUUUUGUGGGGUUUUUGUUGAAACAGGGGAAAGAUGAGCUAAUAUCUUUAUGAUCUGUAAGUGUAAUUUUAUACUUAAAUGUGUGUAUAAUUCCUUCAAUCAUAUUUUAAUAUGUUAAUUACUCUCCAGAUUGCAAGAACUUUAUGUGGAAAUUAAGAACUUUAUGUUUCCAAAGUUAUUUUAUUUGUCUAUUUAAGUGUAUAUUUCAUUUCACUGUUUUGGUUAUAGUGAAGGAAAUGAAGCAUUCAAGAAGUGAUUUGUGCAAGACUUCAAUCAUAUGGUGAUAAGUAAUUGUAUUUUGCUACUUCUAACAACCAUCAGGUGAUAAGAUUGUGCGUCUAAUUAGUUUGUUAAUUACUUUCUAAUUAUUGGUGAAUUCUAUGGUUUUUCUUUUCUUCCUUGUUACA